AUACCUCCUGAACUGGAGUAUUUGGGAACACUGGCCUGGACACCCCAGCACUGAGGAGAGCAGCUGUUCACCGUGGUCCCUUCCUCUCUUCCUGGUACUUGUAAGCAGCCAGUUGGAUACCAUCUUUCAUACAAGCAGUCGGCAGGAGCCUCAGAGAGCCAUAACUGAGGGGAUGUUUACCUAUAGAGAUCCAAAGCAAGCAGAUCUGCUCAUGUAAUUCAUAAACUCCAUGGGGAAAAACAACUUGCUGCUUGAUAAGGAGCUGCUUUUUGUCUGCAUUACCUGCCUUGCUAAUUCUGCUGCGUGGCCAGCUGCGCGACCGCUGACCCAAACACAAACGGCUCACAAAAGCAGAAGUUGGUCACUACUUACGUGGAAGAAAGGCUUGAUCAUUUUGCAGGGCCCGCACCACGUGGCCGAGAAGUCGACUACCACCAGCUUAUCUCCCGCACUGUUCAAGGCUUCCUGAAAAGCAUACUAGAAAGGGGAAGAGAAAAACAUGUGUUUAAGUUACAUUUAUUUCCAACAGCUCUGAUAAAACCUGAUCAAAUGUGACACAGGGUACAAUCUGGAGGGCCUGCUUUCAGGGCCCAUUUUUUACUCAAAAAAAAAAAAA